GGAGGGGGUUAGCGUUGUUCGGAAUUACUGGGCGUAAAGCGCGCGUAGGCGGAUUAGAAAGUUGGGGGUGAAAUCCCGGGGCUCAACCUCGGAACUGCCUCCAAAACUGCUAGUCUAGAGUUCGAGAGAGGUGAGUGGAAUUCCGAGUGUAGAGGUGAAAUUCGUAGAUAUUCGGAGGAACACCAGUGGCGAAGGCGGCUCACUGGCUCGAUACUGACGCUGAGGUGCGAAAGUGUGGGGAGCAAACAGGAUUAGAUACCCUGGUAGUCCACACCGUAAACGAUGAAUGCCAGUCGUCGGGUAGUAUACUAUUCGGUGACACACCUAACGGAUUAAGCAUUCCGCCUGGGGAGUACGGUCGCAAGAUUAAAACUCAAAGGAAUUGACGGGGGCCCGCACAAGCGGUGGANCAUGUGGUUUAAUUCGAAGCAACGCGCAAAAACCUUACCAACCCUUGACAUCCUGUUGCUACAUCCAAAGAUGGAUGGUUCCCCUUCCCGGGAACCCANUGACAGGUUGCUUGCCUGGCUGUCCUCACUCGUC
rnacentral:rRNA from 1 species